rnacentral:rRNA from 1 species
CGACCGCUGGCGGCGUGCUUAACACAUGCAAGUCGAACGGUGAAGCGCCUUCCUUUUUGGUGGGUGUGGAUGAGUGGCGAACGGGUGAGUAACACGUGGGUAACCUGCCCCCUUCUUCUGGAUAACCGCAUGAAAGUGUGGCUAAUACGGGAUAUUCUGGGUCUGUCGCAUGAUGGGUCUGGGAAAGAUAUUGUUUCGGUGGGGGAUGGGCUCGCGGCCUAUCAGCUUGUUGGUGGGGUGAUGGCCUACCAAGGCGGUGACGGGUAGCCGGCCUGGGAGGGUGGACGGUCACACUGGGACUGAGACACGGCCCAGACUCCUACGGGAGGCAGCAGUGGGGAAUAUUGCACAAUGGGCGCAAGCCUGAUGCAGCGACGCCGCGUGAGGGAUGGAGGCCUUCGGGUUGUGAACCUCUUUCGCCAGUGAAGCAGGCCUGCCUCGUUUGUGGGUGGGUUGACGGUAGCUGGAUAAGAAGCGCCGGCUAACUACGUG